rnacentral:rRNA from 1 species
AGUUUGAUCCUGGCUCAGGAUGAACGCUAGCUACAGGCUUAACACAUGCAAGUCGAGGGGCAGCAUGGUCUUAGCUUGCUAAGGCUGAUGGCGACCGGCGCACGGGUGAGUAACACGUAUCCAACCUGCCGUCUACUCUUGGACAGCCUUCUGAAAGGAAGAUUAAUACAAGAUGGCAUCAUGAGUCCGCAUGUUCACAUGAUUAAAGGUAUUCCGGUAGACGAUGGGGAUGCGUUCCAUUAGAUAGUAGGCGGGGUAACGGCCCACCUAGUCUUCGAUGGAUAGGGGUUCUGAGAGGAAGGUCCCCCACAUUGGAACUGAGACACGGUCCAAACUCCUACGGGAGGCAGCAGUGAGGAAUAUUGGUCAAUGGGCGAGAGCCUGAACCAGCCAAGUAGCGUGAAGGAUGACUGCCCUAUGGGUUGUAAACUUCUUUUAUAAAGGAAUAAAGUCGGGUAUGGAUACCCGUUUGCAUGUACUUUAUGAAUAAGGAUCGGCUAACUCCGUGCCAGCAGCCGCGGUAAUACGGAGGAUCCGAGCGUUAUCCGGAUUUAUUGGGUUUAAAGGGAGCGUAGAUGGAUGUUUAAGUCAGUUGUGAAAGUUUGCGGCUCAACCGUAAAAUUGCAGUUGAUACUGGAUAUCUUGAGUGCAGUUGAGGCAGGCGGAAUUCGUGGUGUAGCGGUGAAAUGCUUAGAUAUCACGAAGAACUCCGAUUGCGAAGGCAGCCUGCUAAGCUGCAACUGACAUUGAGGCUCGAAAGUGUGGGUAUCAAACAGGAUUAGAUACCCUGGUAGUCCACACGGUAAACGAUGAAUACUCGCUGUUUGCGAUAUACAGCAAGCGGCCAAGCGAAAGCGUUAAGUAUUCCACCUGGGGAGUACGCCGGCAACGGUGAAACUCAAAGGAAUUGACGGGGGCCCGCACAAGCGGAGGAACAUGUGGUUUAAUUCGAUGAUACGCGAGGAACCUUACCCGGGCUUAAAUUGCAGAUGAAUUACGGUGAAAGCCGUAAGCCGCAAGGCAUCUGUGAAGGUGCUGCAUGGUUGUCGUCAGCUCGUGCCGUGAGGUGUCGGCUUAAGUGCCAUAACGAGCGCAACCCUUGUUGUCAGUUACUAACAGGUUCCGCUGAGGACUCUGACAAGACUGCCAUCGUAAGAUGUGAGGAAGGUGG